rnacentral:rRNA from 1 species
AUGACAAGCAACGCCUUGGAGUUAGUGUGUUGGAAUGUUAGAGGCCUUAAUAGUCUGAUCAAGAGGAAGGUGCUUAGAGGAUUUGUAGAUUCUGCCUGUGCGACGAUUGUUUGUAUUCUAGAAACCAAAUUAGAGGUGGUGGACAUUUAUGUAAUAUUGCAAUGCAUGGGACCGAGCUAUGAUGGUUUCACUUAUCUUCCGGCGUUCGACACUAGAGGAGGCAUCUUCGUGUCU